UACGAGGGGGGCAAGCGUUGUUCGGAAUUAUUGGGCGUAAAGGGUGCGUAGGCGGUUUGGUAAGUCUUAUGUGAAAUCUACAGGCUCAACUUGUAGUCUGCAUGAGAAACUGCCGGGCUUGAGGAUAGGAGAGGUUAGCGGAACUCUAUGAGUAAGGGUGAAAUCUGUUGAUCCAUGGAGGACCACCAAAAAAGGCGAAGGCAGCCAACUAUUCUAUUCCUGACACUGAGGCAUGAAAGCGUGGGGAGCAAACCGG
rnacentral:rRNA from 1 species